rnacentral:rRNA from 1 species
UACGUAGGGUGCAAGCGUUGUCCGGAAUUAUUGGGCGUAAAGGGCUCGUAGGCGGCCAACUAAGUCGGAUGUGAAAUCCCCAGGCUCAACUUGGGAACUGCAUCCGAUACUGGAUGGCUUGAAUUCGGGAGAGGGAUGCAGAAUUCCAGGUGUAGCGGUGAAAUGCGUAGAUAUCUGGAGGAAUACCGGUGGCGAAGGCGGCAUCCUGGACCGGCAUUGACGCUGAGGAGCGAAAGCCAGGGGAGCAAAGCGGG